rnacentral:rRNA from 1 species
GACGAACGCUGGCGGCGUGCCUAAUACAUGCAAGUCGAACGAGCGGCGGACGGGAGAGUAAUGUAUGGGGACUGCGCGACCGAGGGGGAUAACUACUGGAAACGGUGGAUACUACCGCCUACUGUCGGAUAACCCAUAUGGGAUUAGCUAGUAGGUGGGGUAAAGGCCCACCUAGGCGACGAUCUCUAGCUGGUCUGAGAGGAUGAUCAGCCACACUGGGACUGAGACACGGCCCAGACUCCUACGGAGGCAGCAGGGGGGAAUAUUGCACAAUGGGCGCAAGCCUGAUGCAGCCAUGCCGCGUGUAUGAAGAAGGCCUUAGGGUUGUAAAGUACUUUCAGCGGGGAGGCGUUACCCGCAGAAGAAGCACCGGCUAACUCCGUGCCAGCAGCCGCGGUAAUUC